rnacentral:lncRNA from 1 species
CUGGGACAGAUUUGAAAGUGAAAGGGGAUUGUAUAAUAAAUUAUGGUGGGGUAACAUUACCUGGUUGCUAUCUCUCUCACCCUGUCCGAUAACCGUCCCCGAAGAGCAGAAUCACCGAGUCCAAGGAUAGGAAACUGUUCUAGAGCCUGUUCUCACUCAAAACAGUUUCAGAGAUGAUAACACCAAUUAUUACAUUAGCCAAGGACUUCAUUAGAUUUCAGCAAUGCGCUUCUGUAUUUGAUCUCCAAAAUAUUUUGUUUUUUAAAGUUGAGCUCUGAAAUUAGAGAAUCUCAUUUGCACGGCAGUAGGUUUGUUAGUUUAACUCGGAGGAUAACCGCUGGAAAAUCUUGAAUGUGACUUCAGGCCAACAUCUUGCGCGAGGAGGAGGGUUGCUUGAGUUUACUUGGUCAGGUUGAGAUAAUCCAAUCAUUGGGGUGGAGACAAUGACCCUGCGUGUGGGUGGAGACAAUGUCAUAGGAACUAUAUAAGGCUAGAAUCUCUUGAGCUCAAACUCACUUUAGAGAGAAGCUAAGGCUAGGAGACGUGGAGGUGUAGAUUUUGGACCUACGAGAUGGCUGCAAUUGUCCAAAUCAGCGGGACCUACAGAGAUUAGAGGCAGAAGCUGGGCUCCCAGAUCCUGCUAAAGGCCUCAUUGCACUCAGCUCCCACAGAGAGAAGCUGUGGUCAGAGCAGAGAAGGCUUCAUCUGGGCGUCUCCACACAAGGUACAUCCUGAUUAUUGAAGAGCAGAUUGUGUACUGAAGGCUCCCAGUCGCUUUCAGAAGCUAAUAAAGGGCGACUUCAGCUCAGUUCACUGCCAAGGAGUGACCUUCAGAGACCAUGGCCCAGAGUCUGCAAGAGGAGGUGGACGUAUUCCUGACUCAUUUUCUAGCGUGCCAACAUUGCUGUGACAUGGGGUUGAUUCUUGGGUGUUUUCUAGAGGACGCCCUUCCCCACAUGCCUUUCUGGAGACCCAGAGAGCAGCCCCACAGUCUCCCUUCAUUUUGUCUCGUGUUCCCUGGCUCCAGCCAUUAGAACUUCGGUGAAUCUUCCAGGAUUUUGAAUUUUUUUUUUUUCAACGUUUAUUUACUUUUGCGACAGAGAGAGACAGAGCAUGAACGGGGGAGGGGCAGAGAGAGAGGGAGACACAGAAUCGGAAACAGGCUCCAGGCUUCGAGCCAUCAGCCCAGAGCCUGACGCGGGGCUCGAACUCACGGACCGCGAGAUCGUGACCUGGCUGAAGUCGGACGCUUAACCGACUGCGCCACCCAGGCGCCCCAAAUCUUCCAGGAUUUUGUAUGCUCACAGCCUGCCCUCAGCUUCCUUCUCUUUCCCUUCUACGAUCAAUUUCAAAAACUAAAAGAUGAUGUGCAAAGUGUGCCUCAGCUUUCCCA